rnacentral:hammerhead_ribozyme from 1 species
AUCCAACUGACGAGUCCUCAAAAGCACGAAAUGUGCAUCCUGGAU